GGUUAAGCGACUAAGCGUAACACGGUGGAUGCCCCGGCAGUCAGAGGCGCAUUUAGCGGCGUGCUAUCUGCGAUAAGCGCCGGUAAGGUGAUAUGACACAUAACCGGCGAUACCCGAAUGGGGAAACCCAGUGUGACUCCGUCACACUAUCAUUAACUGAAUCCAUAGGUUAUCGAGGCGAACCGGGGAAUCCGGAAACAUUCAUACCCCGAGGAAAAAGAAAUCAACCGGGAGAUUCCCCAGUAGCGGCGAGCGAAUGAGUGGCCCAGAGCCCGGAAUCAGCAUGUGUUGCGGAAGCGUCUGGAAAGGCGCGCGAUAUUGGUGGGUGACAGCCCCGCACACAAAAAGCGCAUGUGCUGUGAGCUCGAUGAGUAGGGCGGGACACGGUAUCCUGUUCGAAUAUGGGGACCAUCCUCCGCUACAAAUACCCUGACUGACCGAUAGCGGUGAACCGUACCGUGAGGAAAGGCGAAAAGAACCCCGGCGAGGGAGUGAAAAAGAACCUGAAACCGUGUAAUGGCCAAGCAGUGGGAGCCCCACCACCAAAGCAUCUUCUGGUGUUGAAGGCCCUGCAAAGCAGCAUCGCGGUGGCGGAGCGUUUGCGACGCCCAACACACAAAACAAGCGGUGAGUGCUUUGGGGUGGGUGAUCGCGCACCUUUUGUAUAAUGGGUCAGCGACUAUAUUCUGUAGCAAGGUUAACCGCAUAGGGAGCCGAGUGGAAACCGAGUUCCUAACCGGGCGUUAAGUUGCAGGGUAUAGACCCGAAAACCCGGUGAUUCAGCCAUGGCAGGCUGAAGGUUGGGUAACACUAAUCUGGAGGACCGGAAACCGACUAAUGUUGAAAAAUUAGCGGAUGACCUGGGUGGCUGGGGUGAAAGGCCAAUCAAACCGGGAGAUAGUUGUUCUCCCGAAAGCUUAGGUAGCGCCUCGUGAAUUCAUCAUCUCCGGGGUAGAGCACUGUUUCGGCUAGGGGCCAUCCCGGCUUACCAACCCGAUGCAAACUGCGAAUACCGGAGAAUAAUGUUUCACACGGGAGACACACGGCGGGCGCACGUCCGUCGUGAAGAGGAAACAAAUCCAGACCGCCGCUAAGGUCCCAAAGUCAUGGUUAAGUGGGAAACGAUGUGGAAGGCCCAGACAGGCCGCAGAUGUUGGCUAGAAGCAGCCAUCAUUUAAAGAAAGCGUAAUAGCCUCACUGGUCGAGUCGGCCUGCGCGAAGAUGUAACGGGCUAAACCAUAACCGAAGCGCAGCGACGCUUGCGCGUUGUUGGGUAGGGAGCGUUCUGUGUCGCGAAGGUGGCCUGUGAGGAUAAGCUGGAGGUAUCAGAAGUGCGAAUGCUGACAUAGUAACGAUAAAGCGGGUGAAAAGCCCGCCUCGCCGGAAGACCGCGGUUCCGUCCAACGUUAACGGGCAGGGUGAGUCGACCCCAAGGCGAGGCCGAAAGGCGUAGUCGAUGGGAAACGGGUUAAUAUCUCGCAAUUCUGGUGUUACCGCGAAGGGGACGGAGAAGGCUAUGUUGGCCGGGCGACGGUUGUCCCGGUUUAAGCUGCGUAGGUGUGUUCCGUGUAAACUGGUUCACUCUUUAACACUGGAGAGGGUGUGAUGACGAGUGUUAAUUACGAAAGUUGAAGCAACAAAUGCCCUGCUUCCCGUGAAAGCCCUAAGCAUCAGGUAACAUCAACAAAAUUCCCCAAACCAACACAGGUGGUCAGGCAGAGAAUACCAAGGCGCUUGAGAACUCGGUGAAGGAACUAGGCAAAAUGGUGCCGCAACUUCGGUAGCUGGCACGCGACAUGUGGUGAAGUGAUUUACCCAUGGAGCUGAAGUCAGUCGAAGAUACCAGCUGGCUGCAACUGUUUAUUAAAAACACAGCACCGUGCAAACACGAAAGUGGACGUAUACGGUGUGACGCCUGCCCGGUGCCGGAAGGUUAAUUGGAUGGGGUCAGCGCAAGCGAAUUCGAUCGAAGCCCGGCAAACGGCGGCCGUAACUAUAACGGUCCUGGCAGUAGCGAAAUUCCUUUUGUCGGGUAAGUUCCGACCCGCAAUGAAUGGCGUACGAUGGCCGUGCUGCCCCACCCGGAGUACCCAGUGAAAUUGAACUCAAGCAGAAGAUGCAGUACCCGCGGCAAGACGGAAAGACCCCGUGAACCUUUACUAUAGCUUGACACUGAACAUUGAGCCUUGAUGUGUAGGAUGGGUGGAGGUUUGGUGGACGCCAGUCUGGCUGGAGCCGACCUUGAAAUACCACCCUUUAAUGUUUGAUGUUCGCGGACCCGUGAUCCGCUGGUGGACAGUAACCGGUGGGUAAGCUUGACUGGGGCGUCUCCAAAAGAGAACGGAGGAGCACGAAGGUUGGCUAAUCCCUACCGAGUGUUAGGUGCAAUGGCAUAAGCCAGCUUGACUGCGAGCGUGACGGCGCGAGCAGGUGCGAAAGCAGGUCAUAGUGAUCCGGUGGUUCUGAACAGCUGGCCGCUCAACGGAUAAAAGGUACCCGGGGAUAAUAGCGCUGAUACCGCCCAAGAGUUCAUAUCGACGGCGGUGUUUGGGCACCUCGAUGUCGCUCAUCACAUCCUGGGGCUGCAGCGGUCCUGGCGGUAUGCUGUUCGCCAUUUAAAGCGGUACGCGAGCGCUUGUAAACGUCGUGAGACAGUUCGGUCCCCAUCUGCCGUGGGCGCUGGAGAACUGGAGGGGCUGUUCAGUACGAGAGGACCGAGUGGACGUCACCGGUGUUCGUUGUCACGCCAAUGGCACCGCCCGGUAGCUAAAUGAAGAGAUAAGUGCUGAAAGUAUCUACACGAAACUUGCCCCGAGAUGAAAGUUCUCCUGACUUUACAGGUCUCCUGAAGGAACGUUGAAGACGACGACGUUGAUAGGCCGGGUGUGCGCAGCGAUGCGUUGAGCUAACCGCCUACCGAAACCGUGAGGCUUAACCUA
rnacentral:rRNA from 1 species